UACGUAGGUGACAAGCGUUGUCCGGAUUUACUGGGCGUAAAGAGCGCGCAGGCGGUCGUUCAAGUCGAGUGUGAAAGCCCCCGGCUCAACUGGGGAGGGUCACUCGAUACUGAUCGACUCGAAGGCAGGAGAGGGUAGUGGAAUUCCCGGUGUAGUGGUGAAAUGCGUAGAUAUCAGAAGGAACAUCAGUGGCGAAAGCGGCUUCCUGGUCCAGUACCGACGUUCAGGCACGAAAGCGUGGGGAGCAAACAGG
rnacentral:rRNA from 1 species